rnacentral:rRNA from 1 species
GACGAACGCUGGCGGCGUGCCUAAUACAUGCGAGUUGAGCGCUGAAGGUUGGUACUUGUACCAACUGGAUGAGCAGCGAACGGGUGAGUAACGCGUGGGGAAUCUGCCUUUGAGCGGGGGACAACAUUUGGAAACGAAUGCUAAUACCGCAUAAAAACUUUAAACACAAGUUUUAAGUUUGAAAGAUGCAAUUGCAUCACUCAAAGAUGAUCCCGCGUUGUAUUAGCUAGUUGGUGAGGUAAAGGCUCACCAAGGCGAUGAUACAUAGCCGACCUGAGAGGGUGAUCGGCCACAUUGGGACUGGGACACGGCCCAAACUCCUACGGGAGGCAGCAGUAGGGAAUCUUCGGCAAUGGAGGAAAGUCUGACCGAGCAACGCCGCGUGAGUGAAGAAGGUUUUCGGAUCGUAAAACUCUGUUGGUAGAGAAGAACGUUGGUGAGAGUGGAAAGCUCAUCAAGUGACGGUAACUACCCAGAAAGGGACGGCUAACUACGUG